UGGGGAAUUUUGGACAAUGGGGGAAACCCUGAUCCAGCCAUCCCGCGUGUGCGAUGAAGGCCUUCGGGUUGUAAAGCACUUUUGGCAGGAAAGAAACGUCGCGGGUUAAUACCCCGCGAAACUGACGGUACCUGCAGAAUAAGCACCGGCUAACUACGUGCCAGCAGCCGCGGUAAUACGUAGGGUGCAAGCGUUAAUCGGAAUUACUGGGCGUAAAGCGUGCGCAGGCGGUUCGGAAAGAAGGAUGUGAAAUCCCAGAGCUUAACUUUGGAACUGCAUUUUUAACUACCGGGCUAGAGUGUGUCAGAGGGAGGUGGAAUUCCGCGUGUAGCAGUGAAAUGCGUAGAUAUGCGGAGGAACACCGAUGGCGAAGGCAGCCUCCUGGGAUAACACUGACGCUCAUGCACGAAAGCGUGGGGAGCAAACAGGAUUAGAUACCCUGGUAGUCCACGCCCUAAACGAUGUCAACUAGCUGUUGGGGCCUUCGGGCCUUGGUAGCGCAGCUAACGCGUGAAGUUGACCGCCUGGGGAGUACGGUCGCAAGAUUAAAACUCAAAGGAAUU
rnacentral:rRNA from 1 species